UACGAAGGGGGCUAGCGUUGUUCGGAUUUACUGGGCGUAAAGCGCACGUAGGCGGUUUGUUAAGUCAGGGUGAAAUCCCAGAGCUCAACUCUGGAACUGCCUUUGAUACUGGCAAGCUAGAGUCCGGAAGAGGUAAAGUGGAACUCCUAGUGUAGAGGUGGAAUUCGUAGAUAAUUAGGAAGAACACCAGUGGCGAAGGCGGCUUACUGGUCCGGAACUGACGCUGAGGUGACGAAGGCGUGGGGAGCAAACAGG
rnacentral:rRNA from 1 species